rnacentral:lncRNA from 10 species
AGGGAGACUUGAACACAAGCACUGCUUAUCUCGAAAGCUGAUCUGCUCACCGAGGUGGCCCUUGAGCACGGACAGCCUGGAUCUGCUGGGGAAAUUCAAAACUUAGGGAUUAUUUCUGAAAUUUUCCAUUUAAAAUUUUCUAUUUAAAAUUGACGAAGGGUAACUGAAACCAGAGAAAGCAAGACUGACGAUAAGGGAGGGGCCUCCUGUACUCCAAGAGCACUGAAUCUGGAAAAACUCAACACAUCGAUGGAGUCAUAUAUUUAAUUUUUUCUUAAAAGCCGCCUGCGGGGUAUUGUAGAAACGCUGCGCUGCCUAUCACAGCUUGUGAUGUGACACGUUCAUUCUGCAAGUUUAAACUUCGCCUAGGUCGGUUCUUGGGGAAAAGCUGUGCUUCAGAGACAAGGUUGAAGAACUUCGCCUGCAUAUGAUGGAAGAUGACAAUGGGAACCACAGGUGUCAUUGGUGGCUUUGUUUUACAAAGUCUUCACCUUUCUGCUGAGUCACGGGACUAAGUUCAACACAAUUUCUACUUUCCGCCUUCCUUUGGAAUAAUAGUUUUGGAAGCCAAGUAUUAGUAUAUGAUACCAGGUGUGUUUUCUAAAGAUUCAGGUUCAGUGGGCUGAAUGCACUUUCAUGACUUCAUUAGACCACUGAGCCCAAGGAGAAAAGUGCCAAUCUUACUAGACAUGAGGAAAAAGACACAUCUUUUGCUCUUGCUGGAAGUGGUGUCCUACUUUCUACAAGCAGUCGUCAUCUGGUUUAUACUUGCCUUGUUCAGUUUUUGUGUGAUAUUUUAUUCUCUGCCUAAUAGAUAUUAAAGUAUCAAGCUGUCAAG